CUACGGGUCGCAGCAGUGGGGAAUAUUGCACAAUGGGGGAAACCCUGAUGCAGCAACGCCGCGUGGAGGAUGACGCAUUUCGGUGUGUAAACUCCUUUUAUAUCCCAAGAUAAUGACGGUAGGAUAUGAAUAAGCACCGGCUAACUCCGUGCCAGCAGCCGCGGUAAUAGGGAGGGUGCAAGCGUUACUCGGAAUCACUGGGCGUAAAGGAUGCGUAGGCUGGAAGUCAAGUCAUAAGUGAAAUCCCACGGCUCAACCGUGGAACUGCUUGUGAAACUGGCUUUCUAGAAUGUGGGAGAGGUAGAUGGAAUUAGUGGUGUAGGGGUAAAAUCCGUAGAGAUCACUAGGAAUACCGAUUGCGAAGGCGAUCUACUGGAACACUAUUGACGCUGAGGCAUGAAAGCGUGGGGAGCAAACAGGAUUAGAUACCCGGGUAGUC
rnacentral:rRNA from 1 species